ACACUAUGGAGAGUUUGAUCCUGGCUCAGGAUGAACGCUGGCGGUAUGCCUAACACAUGCAAGUCGAACGGGCUCUUCGGAGCUAGUGGCGGACGGGUGAGUAACGCGUGAGAAUCUGCCUCUUGGUUGGGGACAACAGUUGGAAACGACUGCUAAUACCCAAUGUGCCGUAAGGUGAAAGAUUUAUUGCCAAGAGAGGAGCUCGCGUCUGAUUAGCUAGUUGGCGGGGUAAAGGCCCACCAAGGCAUCGAUCAGUAGCUGGUCUGAGAGGAUGAGCAGCCACACUGGGACUGAGACACGGCCCAGACUCCUACGGGAGGCAGCAGUGGGGAAUUUUCCGCAAUGGGCGAAAGCCUGACGGAGCAAUACCGCGUGAGGGAGGAAGGCUCUUGGGUUGUAAACCUCUUUUCUUAGGGAAGAAGCAAGUGACGGUACCUAAGGAAUAAGCAUCGGCUAACUCCGUGCCAGCAGCCGCGGUAAUACGGAGGAUGCAAGCGUUAUCCGGAAUUAUUGGGCGUAAAGCGUCCGUAGGUGGUUUUUCAAGUCUGCUGUCAAAGACCGUGGCUUAACCACGGAAAGGCAGUGGAAACUGAGAGACUAGAGUUCGGUAGGGGUAGCGGGAAUUCCCAGUGUAGCGGUGAAAUGCGUAGAUAUUGGGAAGAACAUCGGUGGCGAAGGCGCGCUACUGGACCGAAACUGACACUCAGAGGACGAAAGCUAGGGGAGCGAAAGGGAUUAGAUACCCCUGUAGUCCUAGCUGUAAACGAUGGAAACUAGGUGUGGCUUGUAUCGACCCGAGCCGUGCCGAAGCUAACGCGUUAAGUUUCCCGCCUGGGGAGUACGCACGCAAGUGUGAAACUCAAAGGAAUUGACGGGGGCCCGCACAAGCGGUGGAGUAUGUGGUUUAAUUCGAUGCAACGCGAAGAACCUUACCAGGACUUGACAUGUCGCGAAUCUUGAUGAAAGUUGAGAGUGCCUUCGGGAGCGCGAACACAGGUGGUGCAUGGCUGUCGUCAGCUCGUGUCGUGAGAUGUUGGGUUAAGUCCCGCAACGAGCGCAACCCUCGUUCUUAGUUGCCAGCAUUAAGUUGGGCACUCUAGGGAGACUGCCGGUGACAAACCGGAGGAAGGUGAGGAUGACGUCAAGUCAGCAUGCCCCUUACGUCCUGGGCGACACACGUACUACAAUGGUUGGGACAAAGGGCAGCAAACCCGCGAGGGGGAGCGAAUCUCAUCAAACCCAGCCUCAGUUCAGAUUGCAGGCUGCAACUCGCCUGCAUGAAGGAGGAAUCGCUAGUAAUCGCAGGUCAGCAUACUGCGGUGAAUUCGUUCCCGGGCCUUGUACACACCGCCCGUCACACCAUGGAAGCUGGCCACACCCGAAGUCGUUACCCUAACCCGCAAGGGAGGGGGAUGCCGAAGGUAGGGCUAGUGACUGGGGUGAAGUCGUAACAAGGUAGCCGUACCGGAAGGUGUGGCUGGAUCACCUCCUUU
rnacentral:rRNA from 2 species